CCUACGGGUGGCAGCAGUGGGGAAUAUUGCACAAUGGGGGAAACCCUGAUGCAGCGACGCCGCGUGAGUGAAGAAGCGUUUCGGCGCGUAAAGCUCUGUCAGCGGGGGAGCAACACGGUUCGCGCGAGCCGCGGACGGUGUCCGACCAAGAAGCCCCUGCUAACUCCGUGCCCCCAGCCGCGGUAAUACGUAGGGGGCAAGCGCUUUCCGGAUUCACUGGGGGUAAAGGGGGCGGAGAGGGGGAGGGAAAGCUGGAGUGAAAGGCCGGGGCCCAACCCCCGGACUGCUCUGGAAACUGGCUGGCUGGAGUACAGGAGAGGUAAGUGGAAUGCGUAGUGUAGCGGUGAAAUGCGUAGAUA
rnacentral:rRNA from 1 species